CUCCCGGGGCCCUGCCUGGCGCUUCGUCCCGGCCUGAGGCCCAUACAAGGCGCUUCCUUCCCGCCGCGUCUGGCAGGCGGCCCGCAGGCGGCUGUGGGCGGGAGCUCGGCCCUCCGGGUCCGCCCGCGCCCGGGAGCCCGCGGCCAGGGGACUCUGCCAAGGAGGGGGCGGCGGCGGCGGCGGGGCCGGGAACGCGUGGCCUGGCCGGGCUGAGGAAACGGCAACCCCUCCCGGCAACCCCUCCCGGCCCUCGUACAGCGCCUCCAGGGACUUAAACUUGCCUCAGCCACGUGAUUACCCUGAUCUGCCUGCUGAGAGAUGAGCAAAGGUGGAGAGGGACUAGAUCUCAGCAGAGACAGCAGUUCCUGAGCGCCCACCCCCCAGCGCUUCCAGAAAUGCAAUGCAACAUGGACCAGCCUGUGAGCAUUUGCUCCUCCUCAGGUACCAAGUAUGCAAGAUCAGAACAGGGGAGGCUUAGUUUCCACCUUUCCAUCUGGAUCUGCUAUUGACUCAAAGGCAACCACAUGUAGAAAGAGAAUCAAUUUUGGAAUUAAGCCUGGCAUAAAAUUUGGCUUUGCCACUGAAGAGCUGCUAC
ensembl:lncRNA